rnacentral:snRNA from 1 species
GGUGGGGAGUUUGGCUGGGG